GUACACUCCUGCGGGAGGCAGCAGUGGGGAAUAUUGCACAAUGGGCGCAAGCCUGAUGCAGCCAUGCCGCGUGUGUGAAGAAGGCCUUCGGGUUGUAAAGCACUUUCAGCGGGGAGGAAGGCGAUACGGUUAAUAACCGUGUUGAUUGACGUUACCCGCAGAAGAAGCACCGGCUAACUCCGUGCCAGCAGCCGCGGUAAUACGGAGGGUGCAAGCGUUAAUCGGAAUUACUGGGCGUAAAGCGCACGCAGGCGGUCUGUCAAGUCGGAUGUGAAAUCCCCGGGCUCAACCUGGGAACUGCAUUCGAAACUGGCAGGCUUGAGUCUUGUAGAGGGGGGUAGAAUUCCAGGUGUAGCGGUGAAAUGCGUAGAGAUCUGGAGGAAUACCGGUGGCGAAGGCGGCCCCCUGGACAAAGACUGACGCUCAGGUGCGAAAGCGUGGGGAGCAAACAGGAUUAGAUACCCUUGUAGUCCC
rnacentral:rRNA from 1 species